CACUCCUCCAUCGUUUUCGUCACUCCUCCUGGUCUCUCAAAUCGUGAUUCAUCUUGUUCUUCAAACCUUCAAAUCGUGAAAAACCCACUAUCAUAUUCAAUAAAAUGUCACAAUAAUCCAUUUUUAGCCAUGGAAACAGAUCUUUAAAUCGUUCGACGUACAAAUGCAAGUCUUGUCUUGAUGCUCCGUUGAUGACGACAUGGACAGAUGCGAACCCAUGUCAUCGUUUCUAUAGAUGUGGGAUGUAUAAGGUUAGAAGAAAUGCAGUCACUUUGUUUGGUUGGAUGAGAAGAUGAAUUACAGGGCAAAAGAGUUAAUAUAUGCAUUAUUAAAUAACUUGAAUGAGAGAGAGAGAGAGAGAGAGAGAGAGAGAGAGAGAGAGAGAGAGAGAGAGAGAUGAUUAAUCCGUAUAAAGAAAAAGAGGAAGAAUUGAAGAUGAAAUUGAAGAUGUUAAGAAACAGUUGAAGAUAAAUUGGAUGUCGUUAUUUGUUAUGUUGUAUGCAUUUAUUGGGACAACAUUGAUGAAAUAUGUUAUAGGUUAUUAGGUUUUAGGUUAUGUUUCUAUGUUGUUUGCUUUAAUGGUGUAAGGUGAUUAAUUUAGCAAUGUGAAUUAUAAUACUUUCUGAA